rnacentral:tRNA from 1 species
GCCCUCGGUGGCUCAGAUGGACAGAGCGUCUGCCAUGUAAGCAUGAGAUCCCGGGUUCGAGUCCCGGUCGGGGCA